GACUCCAUGAAGCUGGAUUCGCUAGUAAUCGCGCAUCAGCCAUGGCGCGGUGAAUACGUUCCCGGGCCUUGUACACACCGCCCGUCAAGCCAUGGAAGCCGGGGGGUGCCUGAAGUGUGCAGCCGCAAGGAGCGCCCUAAGGUAAAACCGGUGACUGGGGCUAAGUCGUAACAAGGUAUC
rnacentral:rRNA from 1 species